rnacentral:lncRNA from 1 species
AUCUUAUCUAGAGAUCCCUACUUACCUGAGGACCUUGAAGUCUUUCUGAAGGUAUUGAUAGAGAAGAUGGAGCUAAACUUUUGUCAGAGAUUCACAUCAAAAGGGCAAGAAAUAACACACAGAAGCUGCAGCAAGGGAAGUUAUUGAAUCUGUUGUGGAAGUUGGAGUGUAACUAUUUGUGUUUCACAUCUGAUGGAUGCCUUCAGUUUAUCUGCUCUCCAGAAGACUUCCGGAAGACACAAGUUUUGUUCUUAACAUCAAUUUUGGUAGCCAGCAGAAGAAUGAAUAUGUUAAAAUCUUAAGCAAAUCAAAUCCAGUUACAAGAUGAGAACAAUGCUGCAAAGAACUUUUUACUUGGAGUUUUCAUUAGAAGGUAAUGAUAGUAUCAUUCAAAGAAAAAACUGAAAAUUUGUGGAUAUUAUUUCUGUAUGAAGAUAUUUUGUAAUUUCCAAAUUAAUCGCUAUUGUAAGCAUGUGAUAUCAUGUAUUUAUAUCUGAUGCAUAAUUUGCAUUGCAAGAAUGUCAGUAUUAAUGCUCUUAACAUAUUUACUGCAUCUGAUAAGGUAAUAUUAGGCAGCUAGAUUGGCAAGCUUGAUUCAGCAAGUCACAAAUAUAUACAUAAAGUAAAAAAGGACCACUUUUUUUUUCCUCUCUUUUUGUGGAAUUCUUCAUGAUAUUGAGAUGUAAUAAAACUACCAAACAGAAUUUGAUUCACAAAUCUGGAAUGAAUAGGAAAGGAAUAUGUUUUCUGUUUAAGGUUUAUUUUAUGUAAUAUGCAAGGAAAAAAGAAUGUUUUGCAUUCAUAUUUUCUAAAGUUCUAUUAACAAAGACCUAUGGCUUUUCUUUGAUAAAUAGCUAACUUGUUCGGUGGAAUGCACGGUAAGAAAUAUUCUUAAAUGGACAAUUGUCCUUUUUGUAAUUUCAUUUAUAUAGUAAAAAUAAUCAGAAAAAAUCACCUGAGAGCUAAUUUUUUAAUCUCUCUGGAAAAGUAAAAUGUAUUUAAUGAUUUUCUGAAUGUUUUGGAAAGGUAUGUGAAAAUAAUGUAUUUGUAUUAAUCAGAACACCAUUUAGCUUUUAUCUUCUAUCAUCAUGCAGUAUUCUGUCACAUCAGCGUAGCAGCGCUAUAAAAAAUCUGAAGGUUUCUGUGUGAAGCUUUGACUACUGUAACCUCUUUCUUUGAACAAGUGAAUCCCAAAGUACAUAAAUAAAGGCAUGUCAGU